rnacentral:rRNA from 1 species
UACAGAGGUCUCAAGCGUUGUUCGGAUUCAUUGGGCGUAAAGGGUGUGUAGGUGGCGCGCUAAGUCGGGGUGUGAAAUUUCGGAGCUUAACUCCGAAACUGCAUUCGAUACUGGCGUGCUUGAGGACUGGAGAGGAGACUGGAAUUUACGGUGUAGCAGUGAAAUGCGUAGAUAUCGUAAGGAAGACCAGUGGCGAAGGCGGGUCUCUGGACAGUUCCUGACACUGAGGCACGAAGGCCAGGGGAGCAAACGGG